GACGGAGGAUGCAAGCGUUAAUCGGAAUUACUGGGCGUAAAGCGUGCGCAGGCGGUUUUGUAAGUCUGUCGUGAAAUCCCCGGGCUCAACCUGGGAAUUGCGAUGGAGACUGCAAGGCUAGAAUCUGGCAGAGGGGGGUAGAAUUCCACGUGUAGCAGUGAAAUGCGUAGAGAUGUGGAGGAACACCGAUGGCGAAGGCAGCCCCCUGGGUCAAGAUUGACGCUCAUGCACGAAAGCGUGGGGAGCAAACAGG
rnacentral:rRNA from 1 species